AUUGAACGCUGGCGGCAGGCCUAACACAUGCAAGUCGAACGAGUGGCGGACGGGUGAGUAAUGUCUGGGAAUCUGCCUGAUGGAGGGGGAUAACUACUGGAAACGGUAGCUAAUACCGCAUACCCACAGAUGUGCCCAUGUGGGAGUAGCGUGUUGGUGGGGUAAAGGCUCACCGAGGCGACGAUCCCUAGCUGGUCUGCGAGGAUGAGCAGCCAAACUGGUACUGAGACACGGUCCAGACUCCGACGGGAGGCAGCAGUGGGGAAGAUUGCACAAUGGGCGCAAGCCUGAUGCAGCCAUGCCGAGUGUAUGAAGAAGGCCUUAGGGUUGUAAAGUACUUUCAGCGGGGAGGCGUUACCCGCAGAAGAAGCACCGGCUAACUCCGUGCCAGCAGCCGCGGUAAUAC
rnacentral:rRNA from 1 species